AUGCUCAUUUUGGCAACUCAUAAACUAAAACUGGAAUGAUAUAGAGAAGAUUAGCAUGGCCCCUGCACAAGUAUGACAUGGAAAUUUGUAGUGUUCCAUAUUUUU
rnacentral:snRNA from 1 species